UACGGAGGGUGCGAGCGUUGUCCGGAAUCACUGGGCGUAAAGGGCGCGUAGGCGGCCUGAUAAGUAGGGGGUGAAAUCCUGCGGCUUAACCGCAGGGCUGCCUUCUAAACUGUCAGGCUCGAGCACAGUAGAGGCAGGUGGAAUUCCCGGUGUAGCGGUGGAAUGCGUAGAGAUCGGGAGGAACACCUGUGGCGAAAGCGGCGCACUGGACCACAACUGACGCUGAGGCGCGAAAGCUAGGGGAGCAAACAGG
rnacentral:rRNA from 1 species